rnacentral:lncRNA from 1 species
UAUAAUUGCUCAAAGUAAGGAAUAUAAACUGAAGUUACAAACACGAACCAGUUUAUGUCUAACCAAAAUCAACCAUUAAUUCCAUUAAUAGAUGAUUCCAUUACAAUGUAGGGGAAUUACAAUUUACAAGAUAAACUUAAGACAAAGAUAUGGUUCAGCAAAACAAGAAAGAGACAGAGAACUGGAGAAGAUUAAGAAUAGAAGAAGAGGAGAGGAAGAACUAGAGAAGAAGAGAAGAAAGCAAAAGAAACUGGGAAGAAGAGGAAGAAGUAGAACCAAGAAGGAGAGGAGAUGAAGAUUCAAAUAAAAGAAGAAAAGAGAAUAAGUGUAAGCAGAAGAAGAAGCUAACUAGAAGAAACACAGAGGAGAAGAAGAAGCAGCAGAGGGAGGGAAAAGACGACCGGCAACAGCCAAUAUCCAUUCAACCUUUUCCUCGUCAUCUUCUAAGCAAUUUAUAUGUAGAACAAAACAACCUAAAGGGCUUGGGCUAGCCCAACUAGAAAAAUAAAAGCAAAUGCCCAAUCCAUAACAGAAUUCUCUUAUGCUUUUCAUUGAAUCUCUAAGUUAUGGGAUUUAAUAAUUGUGUUCUCUUUUGUUUCCAUUACAAUAUUGUUCUUUACUGGUUCAUUAGGAUGCAUCUUUGAAGACAUUUUCUGGGUCGAAUUGAUGGUCAAUUUUGGGUUUCACUAUGAUAUUUCUAUGAAAUCUAUGAGAGUUUUUGCUGGAUCUUUAAUGGUCGUGUUUGGUGUGAUGAG